AUUGAACGCUGGCGGCAUGCUUUACACAUGCAAGUCGAACGGCAGCGCGGGCUUCGGCCUGGCGGCGAGUGGCGAACGGGUGAGUAAUGCAUCGGAACGUGCCCAGUAGUGGGGGAUAGCCCGGCGAAAGCCGGAUUAAUACCGCAUACGACCUGAGGGUGAAAGCGGGGGACCGAAAGGCCUCGCGCUAUUGGUUCGGCCGAUGUCGGAUUAGCUAGUUGGUGGGGUAAAGGCUUACCAAGGCGACGAUCCGUAGCUGGUCUGAGAGGACGACCAGCCACACUGGGACUGAGACACGGCCCAGACUCCUACGGGAGGCAGCAGUGGGGAAUUUUGGACAAUGGGGGCAACCCUGAUCCAGCCAUGCCGCGUGCGGGAAGAAGGCCUUCGGGUUGUAAACCGCUUUUGUUCGGGAAGAAAUCCUCUGGGCUAAUACCCCGGGGGGAUGACGGUACCGGAAGAAUAAGCACCGGCUAACUACGUG
rnacentral:rRNA from 1 species